rnacentral:rRNA from 1 species
GACAAAGACUUAGUCCUAACCUUACCGUUGGUUGUUGCUAGGUAUAUACAUGCGAGUAUCCGCGCACCAGUGUAGACGCCCUGGGUACCCUAAAUCUUAGGUCGAUAGGAGCAGGUAUCAGGCACGCCCAUGUUGUAGCCCAAAACGCCUUGCAAUUGCCACGCCCCCACGGGUCCUCAGCAGUAGUUAGUAUUAAGCAAUGAGUGCAAACUUGACUUAGCCAUAGCAAAUCUAGGGGCGGUAAAUCCUGUGCCAGCCACCGCGGUCAUACAGGAGACCCAAAUCAACGUUAUAACGGCGUAAAGUGUGGUCACAUGUUAUCUAAAGUAGCUAAGAUUAAAAGGCAACUGAGCUGUCGCAAGCCCAAGAUGCCCAUAAGGCCUCUACCAAAGAAGAUCUUAGACCAAAGAUUUAUUGAAGCCCACGAAAGCCAGGGCCCAAACUGGGAUUAGAUACCCCACUAUGCCUGGCCCUAAAUCUUGAUGCUCGAUCUUACCGGAGCAUCCGCCCGAGAACUACGAGCACAAACGCUUAAAACUCUAAGGACUUGGCGGUGCUCCAAACCCACCUAGAGGAGC